UACGUAGGGCGCAAGCGUUGUCCGGAAUUAUUGGGCGUAAAGAGCUCGUAGGCGGUUCGUCGCGUCGGCUGUGAAAACCUGAGGCUCAACCUCAGGCCUGCAGUCGAUACGGGCGGACUUGAGUACUGCAGGGGAGACUGGAAUUCCUGGUGUAGCGGUGAAAUGCGCAGAUAUCAGGAGGAACACCGAUGGCGAAGGCAGCCUUCUGGGCCAACACUGACGCUCAUGCACGAAAGCGUGGGGAGCAAACAGG
rnacentral:rRNA from 1 species